AUUGAACGCUGGCGGCAGGCCUAACACAUGCAAGUCGAGCGAGCGGCGGACGGUUGAGUAAUGUAUGGGGACUGCCCGAUAGCGGGGGAUCACUACUGGAUACGGUUGCUAAUCCCGCAUUCUUUCCGAUUACCCUUAUGGGAUUAGCUAGUAGGUAAGGUAAUGGCUUACCUAGGCGACGAUCCCUAGCUGGUCUGAGAGGUUGAUCAGCCACACUGGGACGGAGACACGGCCCAGACUCCUACGGAGGCAGCAGUGGGGAAUAUUGCACAAUGGGCGCAAGCCUGAUGCAGCCAUGCCGCGUGUAUGAAGAAGGCCCUAGGGUUGUAAAGUACUUUCAGUCGGGAGGCGGUACCGACAGAAGAAGCACCGGCUAACUCCGUGCCAGCCGCCGCGGUAAUAC
rnacentral:rRNA from 1 species